rnacentral:rRNA from 1 species
GAUGAACGCUGGCGGCGUGCUUAACACAUGCAAGUCGAACGGAAAGGCCAGUGCUUGCACUGGUACUCGAGUGGCGAACGGGUGAGUAACACGUGGGUGAUCUGCCCUGCACUUCGGGAUAAGCCUUGGAAACUGGGUCUAAUACCGGAUAGGACAAUGGUUUGGAUGCCGUUGUGGAAAGUUUUUUCGGUGUGGGAUGAGCUCGCGGCCUAUCAGCUUGUUGGUGGGGUAAUGGCUUACCAAGGCGUCGACGGGUAGCCGGCCUGAGAGGGUGUACGGCCACAUUGGGACUGAGAUACGGCCCAGACUCCUACGGGAGGCAGCAGUGGGGAAUAUUGCACAAUGGGCGCAAGCCUGAUGCAGCGACGCCGCGUGGGGGAUGACGGCCUUCGGGUUGUAAACUCCUUUCGCUAGGGACGAAGCGUAUUUGUGACGGUACCUGGAGAAGAAGCACCGGCUAACUACGUG